rnacentral:rRNA from 1 species
AUGCCUCUAUCUGAUAGGCGGUUGAAGCUCGUUGACUUCCAAGACCUGCUUGCCAAGUUAAUUAAGAAGAUUGCCGGUUGGAAGGCUAGGUGGAUCUCCUCCGCUGGAAGAAUGGUACUCGUGAGGUUUCUUCUUUCGGCAAUGCCAAUUUUCAUGCUUCUGGCUGUUCAUCAACCGAAAUGGGUCAUCAAGCAAAUCGAUAAGCUACGUCGUGCUUCUUUAUGGUCUGGCUCUGAUGCUGUCUGCGGUAGCAAGUGCCUUGUCCGCUGCACCCAGGUGUGCUCACCCAUCUCUGUAGGUGGGCUGGGCAUCCAUGACCUUCAAGUUGAGGGGCGGGCGCUUAAAGUACGCUGGCUUUGGCAAAGCAUCACAGAUCCGGAUAAACCAUGGCAAGGUCUGCAGCUCCCUGUUGACAAGCACGUUAAGGAUCUUUUCAUUGCUUGUACCUCAAUCAAAAUUGGUAGUGGUAUUAAGAUAUCCUUUUGGCACGAUCACUGGCUCAACGGUGAGAUUCCAGCUGUUUCGUUUCCUAACCUUUACAAGCAUAGCAAGAACAGAAGAAUAUCGUUGGUUGAAGGACUCACCAAUAGAAAAUGGGUCACUCUUCUCAAGCGCAACCCGGGCACCGAGGUGUUGCGCGAAUACAUUGACUUCUAG